rnacentral:rRNA from 1 species
UAGAGUUUGAUCAUGGCUCAGAGCGAACGCUGGCGGCAGGCUUAACACAUGCAAGUCGAGCGGGCGUAGCAAUACGUCAGCGGCAGACGGGUGAGUAACGCGUGGGAACGUACCUUUUGGUUYGGAACAACACAGGGAAACUUGUGCUAAUACCGGAUAAGCCCUUACGGGGAAAGAUUUAUCGCCGAAAGAUCGGCCCGCGUCUGAUUAGCUAGUUGGUGAGGUAAUGGCUCACCAAGGCGACGAUCAGUAGCUGGUCUGAGAGGAUGAUCAGCCACAUUGGGACUGAGACACGGCCCAAACUCCUACGGGAGGCAGCAGUGGGGAAUAUUGGACRAUGGGGGCAACCCYKRWYCMRSCCAUGCCGCGUGAGUGAUGAAGGCCCUAGGGUUGUAAAGCUCUUUUGUGCGGGAAGAUAAUGACGGUACCGCRAGAAUAAGCCCCGGCUAACUUCGUGCCAGCCGCCGCGGKAAUACRRAGGG